rnacentral:rRNA from 1 species
GUGCCAGCCGCCGCGGUAAGACGGAGGAGGCUAGCGUUGUUCGGAAUUACUGGGCGUAAAGCGUGCGCAGGCGGCCCGAUUAGUUGGAGGUGAAAUCCCGGAGCUCAACUUCGGAACUGCCUCCAAUACUGUCGGGCUUGAGCGGAGGAGAGGAGAGCGGAAUUCCCAGUGUAGAGGUGAAAUUCGUAGAUAUUGGGAAGAACACCGGUGGCGAAGGCGGCUCUCUGGCCUCUUGCUGACGCUCAGGCACGAAAGCGUGGGGAGCAAACAGGAUUAGAAACCCGCGUAGUCC